rnacentral:rRNA from 1 species
UUGAUAGUACCUUACUACUUGGAUAACCGUGGUAAUUCUAGAGCUAAUACAUGCUAAAAACCCCAACUUCGGGAGGGGUGUAUUUAUUAGAUAAAAAACCAAUGCCCUUCGGGGCUCCUUGGUGAUUCAUGAUAACUUCUCAGAUCGCAUGGCUUUACGCCGGCGACGGUUCAUUCAAAUUUCUGCCCUAUCAACUUUCGAUGGUAAGGUAGUGGCUUACCAUGGUUUCAACGGGUAACGGGGAAUUAGGGUUCGAUUCCGGAGAGGGAGCCUGAGAAACGGCUACCACAUCCAAGGAAGGCAGCAGGCGCGCAAAUUACCCAAUUCCGAUACGGAGAGGUAGUGACAAUAAAUACUGAUACAGGGCUCUUUUGGGUCUUGUAAUUGGAAUGAGUACAAUUUAAACCUCUUAACGAGGAACAAUUGGAGGGCAAGUCUGGUGCCAGCAGCCGCGGUAAUUCCAGCUCCAAUAGCGUAUAUUAAAGUUGUUGCAGUUAAAAAGCUCGUAGUUGAACCUUUGGCCUGGCUGGCAGGUCCGCCUCACCGCGUGCACUUGUCCGGCCGGGCCUUUUCUUCUGGAGAACCGCAUGCCCUUCACUGGGUGUGUUGGGGACCAGGACUUUUACUUUGAAAAAAUUAGAGUGUUCAAAGCAGGCCUUUGCUCGAAUACGUUAGCAUGGAAUAAUAGAAUAGGACGUGCGGUCCUAUUUUGUUGGUUUCUAGGACCGCCGUAAUGAUUAAUAGGGACAGUCGGGGGCAUCAGUAUUCAAUUGUCAGAGGUGAAAUUCUUGGAUUUAUUGAAGACUAACUACUGCGAAAGCAUUUGCCAAGGAUGUUUUCAUUAAUCAGUGAACGAAAGUUAGGGGAUCGAAGACGAUCAGAUACCGUCGUAGU